rnacentral:rRNA from 1 species
CGAUGAACCUCCUUCGGGAGGGGAUUAGUGGCGAACGGGUGAGUAACACGUGGGCAAUCUGCCCUUCACUCUGGGACAAGCCCUGGAAACGGGGUCUAAUACCGGAUAACACUGCGGAUCGCAUGGUCUGCGGUUGAAAGCUCCGGCGGUGAAGGAUGAGCCCGCGGCCUAUCAGCUAGUUGGUGGGGUAAUGGCCUACCAAGGCGACGACGGGUAGCCGGCCUGAGAGGGCGACCGGCCACACUGGGACUGAGACACGGCCCAGACUCCUACGGGAGGCAGCAGUGGGGAAUAUUGCACAAUGGGCGAAAGCCUGAUGCAGCGACGCCGCGUGAGGGAUGACGGCCUUCGGGUUGUAAACCUCUUUCAGCAGGGAAGAAGCGAAAGUGACGGUACCUGCAGAAGAAGCGCCGGCUAACUACGUGCCAGCAGCCGCGGUAAUACGUAGGGCGCAAGCGUUGUCCGGAAUUAUUGGGCGUAAAGAGCUCGUAGGCGGCUUGUCACGUCGGAUGUGAAAGCCCGGGGCUUAACCCCGGGUCUGCAUUCGAUACGGGCAGGCUAGAGUGUGGUAGGGGAGAUCGGAAUUCCUGGUGUAGCGGUGAAAUGCGCAGAUAUCAGGAGGAACACCGGUGGCGAAGGCGGAUCUCUGGGCCAUUACUGACGCUGAGGAGCGAAAGCGUGGGGAGCGAACAGGAUUAGAUACCCUGGUAGUCCACGCCGUAAACGUUGGG